rnacentral:rRNA from 1 species
CAUAGCGACUAUCGUGGCAUAUCAAUAAGCGGAGGAAAAGAAACUAACAAGGAUUCCCCUAGUAACGGCGAGUGAAGCGGGAAGAGCUCAAAUUUGAAAUCUUAAAGGGUUUCCCUUUACGAAUUGUAGUUUAAAGAAGUGUUUUCUGUUGGAGUUUCGGUAAAAGUUCUUUGGAAUAGGACAUCAUAGAGGGUGAGAAUCCCGUAUUUGACCGUUACUUUCCAGCUGUGUGAUACACUUUCAAAGAGUCGGAUUGUUUGGGAAUGCAGUCCGAAAUGGGUGGUAAAUUUCAUCUAAAGCUAAAUAUUGGCGAGAGACCGAUAGCGAACAAGUACCGUGAGGGAAAGAUGAAAAGAACUUUGAAAAGAGAGUUAAACAGUACGUGAAAUUGUCAAAAGGGAAGCGUUUGACACCAGUGUUGUUUAGUUGAAAAUCAAUUCAAUAAUUUUUGAUUUUGAGUAGUAUUGACUUCAUCAGCUUGCUGCUUUCUUUUCCGAAAUUAUUGAAUGCACUUUUCAGUUAACAAGUCAACAUCAAUUUCUUUUGUUGUAAAAGGGUAAGAGGAAGGUGGCUUACGCUUCGGCGUAAGUGUUUAUAGCCUUUUACCUCUGCAAUCGGAGAGAUUGAGGACAGCAGCGCAGACUCCUUCGGGGGUUAGAUACACUUGUGCUAAGCUAUAGCCUUGUAUAGACAACUUGUUGACUAUGCUCAGUCAUGUAGCUUACUCGCUUGUGCUAUUUUACCUACGCUUAGGAUGUUGAUAGUCACAGCGUGUAC